UGCGUAGGCGGUUUCGCAAGUCAGAGGUGAAAUGUCUCGGCUCAACCGGGAACCUGCCUUUGAAACUGCGAGACUUGAGGGCGUGAGAGGAGACUGGAAUUCCUAGUGUAGCGGUGAAAUGCAUAGAUAUUAGGAAGAACACCAGUGGCGAAGGCGAGUCUCUGGCACGCUCCUGACGCUGAGGCACGAAAGCCAGGGGAGCGAACAGGAUUAGAUACCCUGGUAGUCC
rnacentral:rRNA from 1 species